rnacentral:rRNA from 1 species
UACGUAGGGACCAAGCGUUGUUCGGAUUUACUGGGCGUAAAGGGCCCGUAGGCGGCUUAACAAGUCACUUGUGAAAUCUCCGGGCUUAACUCGGAACGGCCAAGUGAAACUGUUAUGCUAGAGUGCGGAAGGGGCAAUCGGAAUUCUUGGUGUAGCGGUGAAAUGCGUAGAUAUCAAGAGGAACACCUGAGGUGAAGACGGGUUGCUGGGCCGACACUGACGCUGAUGCGCGAAAGCCAGGGGAGCAAACGGG